rnacentral:rRNA from 1 species
GACGAACGCUGGCGGCGUGCCUAAUACAUGCAAGUUGAGCGCUGAAGGUUGGUACUUGUACCGACUGGAUGAGCAGCGAACGGGUGAGUAACGCGUGGGGAAUCUGCCUUUGAGCGGGGGACAACAUUUGGAAACGAAUGCUAAUACCGCAUAAAAACUUUAAACACAAGUUUUAAGUUUGAAAGAUGCAAUUGCAUCACUCAAAGAUGAUCCCGCGUUGUAUUAGCUAGUUGGUGAGGUAAAGGCUCACCAAGGCGAUGAUACAUAGCCGACCUGAGAGGGUGGUGGGCCAAAUUGGGACUGGGACAAGGCCCAAACUCCUACGGGAGGCAGCAGUAGGGGAACUUCGGCAAUGGACGGAAGUCUGACCGAGCAACGCCGGGUGAGUGAAGAAGGUUUUCGGAUCGUAAAACUCUGUUGGUAGAGAAGAACGUUGGUGAGAGUGGAAAGCUCAUCAAGUGACGGUAACUACACAGAAAGGGACGGCUAACUACGUG